UAAUCUGCGAUAAGCGCCGGUAAGGUGAUAUGAACCGUUAUAACCGGCGAUACCCGAAUGGGGAAACCCAGUGUGACUCGUCACACUAUCAUUAACUGAAUCCAUAGGUUAAUGAGGCGAACCGGGGGAACUGAAACAUCUAAGUACCCCGAGGAAAAGAAAUCAACCGAGAUUCCCCCAGUAGCGGCGAGCGAACGGGGAGGAGCCCAGAGCCUGAAUCAGCAUGUGUGUUAGUGGAAGCGUCUGGAAAGGCGCGCGAUACAGGGUGACAGCCCCGUACACAAAAGCGCAUGUGCUGUGAGCUCGAUGAGUAGGGCGGGACACGUGGUAUCCUGUCUGAAUAUGGGGGGACCAUCCUCCAAGGCUAAAUACUCCUGACUGACCGAUAGUGAACCAGUACCGUGAGGGAAAGGCGAAAAGAACCCCGGCGAGGGGAGUGAAAAAGAACCUGAAACCGUGUACGUACAAGCAGUGGGAGCACAGGUUUACCUGUGUGACUGCGUACCUUUUGUAUAAUGGGUCAGCGACUUAUAUUCUGUAGCAAGGUUAACCGAAUAGGGGAGCCGGAGGGAAACCGAGUCUUAAUUGGGCGUUAAGUUGCAGGGUAUAGACCCGAAACCCGGUGAUCUAGCCAUGGGCAGGUUGAAGGUUGGGUAACACUAACUGGAGGACCGAACCGACUAAUGUUGAAAAAUUAGCGGAUGACCUGUGGCUGGGGGUGAAAGGCCAAUCAAACCGGGAGAUAGCUGGUUCUCCCCGAAAGCUAUUUAGGUAGCGCCUCGUGAAUUCAUCUCCGGGGGUAGAGCACUGUUUCGGCUAGGGGGCCAUCCCGGCUUACCAACCCGAUGCAAACUGCGAAUACCGGAGAAUGUUAUCACGGGAGACACACGGCGGGUGCUAACGUCCGUCGUGAAGAGGGAAACAACCCAGACCGCCAGCUAAGGUCCCAAAGUCAUGGUUAAGUGGGAAACGAUGUGGGAAGGCCCAGACAGCCAGGAUGUUGGCUUAGAAGCAGCCAUCAUUUAAAGAAAGCGUAAUAGCUCACUGGUCGAGUCGGCCUGCGCGGAAGAUGUAACGGGGCUAAACCAUGCACCGAAGCUGCGGCAGCGACACUGUGUGUUGUUGGGUAGGGGAGCGUUCUGUAAGCCUGUGAAGGUGUGUCGUGAGGCAUGCUGGAGGUAUCAGAAGUGCGAAUGCUGACAUAAGUAACGAUAAAGCGGGUGAAAAGCCCGCUCGCCGGAAGACCAAGGGUUCCUGUCCAACGUUAAUCGGGGCAGGGUGAGUCGACCCCUAAGGCGAGGCCGAAAGGCGUAGUCGAUGGGAAACGGGUUAAUAUUCCCGUACUUGGUGUUACUGCGAAGGGGGGACGGAGAAGGCUAUGUUGGCCGGGCGACGGUUGUCCCGGUUUAAGCGUGUAGGUGUGUGUUCCAGGUAAAUCCGGUUCACUUUAACACUGAGGCGUGACGACGAGGCACUACGGUGCUGAAGCAACAAAUGCCCUGCUUCCAGGAAAAGCCUCUAAGCAUCAGGUAACAUCAAAUCGUACCCCAAACCGACACAGGUGGUCAGGUAGAGAAUACCAAGGCGCUUGAGAGAACUCGGGUGAAGGAACUAGGCAAAAUGGUGCCGUAACUUCGGGAGAAGGCACGCUGACACGUAGGUGAAGUGAUUUACUCAUGGAGCUGAAGUCAGUCGAAGAUACCAGCUGGCUGCAACUGUUUAUUAAAAACACAGCACUGUGCAAACACGAAAGUGGACGUAUACGGUGUGACGCCUGCCCGGUGCCGGAAGGUUAAUUGAUGGGGUCAGCGCAAGCGAAGCUCCUGAUCGAAGCCCCGGUAAACGGCGGCCGUAACUAUAACGGUCCUAAGGUAGCGAAAUUCCUUGUCGGGUAAGUUCCGACCUGCACGAAUGGCGUAAUGAUGGCCAGGCUGUCUCCACCCGAGACUCAGUGAAAUUGAACUCGCUGUGAAGAUGCAGUGUACCCGCGGCAAGACGGAAAGACCCCGUGAACCUUUACUAUAGCUUGACACUGAACAUUGAGCCUUGAUGUGUAGGAUAGGUGGGAGGCUUUGAAGUGUGGACGCCAGUCUGCAUGGAGCCGACCUUGAAAUACCACCCUUUAAUGUUUGAUGUUCUAACGUGGACCCGUUACCCGGGUUGCGGACAGUGUCUGGUGGGUAGUUUGACUGGGGCGGUCUCCUCCUAAAGAGUAACGGAGGAGCACGAAGGUUGGCUAAUCCUGGUCGGACAUCAGGAGGUUAGUGCAAUGGCAUAAGCCAGCUUGACUGCGAGCGUGACGGCGCGAGCAGGUGCGAAAGCAGGUCAUAGUGAUCCGGUGGUUCUGAAUGGAAGGGCCAUCGCUCAACGGAUAAAAGGUACUCCGGGGAUAACAGGCUGAUACCGCCCAAGAGUUCAUAUCGACGGCGGUGUUUGGCACCUCGAUGUCGGCUCAUCACAUCCUGGGGCUGAAGUAGGUCCCAAGGGUAUGGCUGUUCGCCAUUUAAAGUGGUACGCGAGCUGGGUUUAGAACGUCGUGAGACAGUUCGGUCCCUAUCUGCCGUGGGCGCUGGAGAACUGAGGGGGGCUGCUCCUAGUACGAGAGGACCGGAGUGGACGCAUCACUGGUGUUCGGGUUGUCAUGCCAAUGGCACUGCCCGGUAGCUAAAUGCGGAAGAGAUAAGUGCUGAAAGCAUCUAAGCACGAAACUUGCCCCGAG
rnacentral:rRNA from 1 species